AGGUAAGCUACUAAGAGCGAAUGGUGGAUGCCUUGACUGGUAAAGGCGAUGAAGGACGUACUAGACUGCGAUAAGCUACGGGGAGCUGUCAAGAAGCUUUGAUCCGUAGAUUUCCGAAUGGGGCAACCCAAUGUAUAGAGAUAUACAUUACCUAUAUAGGAGCGAACGAGGGGAAUUGAAACAUCUUAGUACCCUCAGGAAAAGAAAUCAAUAGAGAUUGCGUCAGUAGCGGCGAGCGAAAGCGCAAGAGGGCAAACCCAGUGCUUGCACUGGGGGUUGUAGGACUGCAAUGUGCAAGAGGUAAGUUUAGCAGAACAUUCUGGAAAGUAUAACCAUAGAGGGUGAUAGUCCCGUAUGCGAAAAACAAACCUUAGCUAGCAGUAUCCUGAGUAGGGCGGGACACGAGGAAUCCUGUCUGAAUCCGGGUCGACCACGAUCCAACCCUAAAUACUAAUACCAGAUCGAUAGUGCACAAGUACCGUGAGGGAAAGGUGAAAAGAACUGAGGUGAUCAGAGUGAAAUAGAACCUGAAACCAUUUGCUUACAAUCAUUCAGAGCCCUAUGUAGCAAUACAGGGUGAUGGACUGCCUUUUGCAUAAUGAGCCUGCGAGUUGUGGUGUCUGGCAAGGUUAAGCAAACGCGAAGCCGUAGCGAAAGCGAGUCUGAAUAGGGCGCUUAGUCAGAUGCUGCAGACCCGAAACGAAGUGAUCUAUCCAUGAGCAAGUUGAAGCUAGUGUAAGAACUAGUGGAGGACUGAACCCAUAGGCGUUGAAAAGCCCCGGGAUGACUUGUGGAUAGGGGUGAAAGGCCAAUCAAACUUCGUGAUAGCUGGUUCUCUCCGAAAUAUAUUUAGGUAUAGCGUUGUGUCGUAAUAUAAGGGGGUAGAGCACUGAAUGGGCUAGGGCAUACACCAAUGUACCAAACCCUAUCAAACUCCGAAUACCUUAUAUGUAAUCACAGCAGUCAGGCGGCGAGUGAUAAAAUCCGUCGUCAAGAGGGAAACAACCCAGACUACCAGCUAAGGUCCCUAAGUCUUACUUAAGUGGAAAACGAUGUGAAGUUACUUAAACAACCAGGAGGUUGGCUUAGAAGCAGCCAUCCUUUAAAGAAAGCGUAAUAGCUCACUGGUCUAGUGAUUUUGCGCGGAAAAUAUAACGGGGCUAAAGUAAGUACCGAAGCUGUAGACUUAGUUUACUAAGUGGUAGGAGAGCGUUCUAUUUGCGUCGAAGGUAUACCGGUAAGGAGUGCUGGAGCGAAUAGAAGUGAGCAUGCAGGCAUGAGUAGCGAUAAUUAAUGUGAGAAUCAUUAACGCCGUAAACCCAAGGUUUCCUACGCGAUGCUCGUCAUCGUAGGGUUAGUCGGGUCCUAAGUCGAGUCCGAAAGGGGUAGACGAUGGCAAAUUGGUUAAUAUUCCAAUACCAACAUUAGUGUGCGAUGGAAGGACGCUUAGGGCUAAGGGGGCUAGCGGAUGGAAGUGCUAGUCUAAGGUCGUAGGAGGUUGUACAGGCAAAUCCGUAUAACAAUACUCCGAGAACUGAAAGGCUUUUUGAAGUCUUCGGAUGGAUAGAAGAACCCCUGAUGCCGUCGAGCCAAGAAAAGUUUCUAAGUUUAGCUAAUGUUGCCCGUACCGUAAACCGACACAGGUGGGUGGGAUGAGUAUUCUAAGGCGCGUGGAAGAACUCUCUUUAAGGAACUCUGCAAAAUAGCACCGUA
rnacentral:rRNA from 1 species